CUCCACAUCCUGCAAUCUGAAAGCAUUGUAUAUAGUGAUUUCCUUUGUCUCCUCAACAUUACAAUUGGAAGAUCAGAGGCAAUCAUUGAUUUCCAAUGAGGUCAUACAAGUUCAACAGGAAUGUGGAUCUUGGACUGUAUGGCCAGGCUGUAACAGCCACCACAACCAGCCCACAACCUUGGCAUUUCUGACAGGAUGUUGCUGUUUGCUGCCACCACUGCAAAAGACCACAUACUUCAAAUCAGGAAGCCACCAGUUUAAUAGAAGAGCAAACUGACUCCUAACACAGAGCUUGUCUCCAACCAACAAUCUUCUACAGAAAACAAGGAGGACUUUUAGUCACUCUGCUGCAUAAUAUAUUCAACCCAAUAUGCAUUUUCUUUUAUUUUUAAAGUAAAAAGUAACAUUGAUAAUAUAGAAAUUCUGGAAACUAGAAAAACUAUUCUGGCUUUUUUUUUGUAUAUUUUCUUCCACGUUUUUGGUGUACAUGAGAUUGCACGUUU